UCGAUAUCUGAUGGAAGAUGUCAACUUUUGAUCCUUGGUCACAGUCUAGAUUCUGUUGAAGCAAGCAAACUUUCGCUGCUGUGACUCUCAAGACUCUAUACAUCGGUAUACAAGGUAAACAACUUUCAGCACCAUGGUUUGGUUCAUCGGUUUCGGAUCGAACAGGCAGGAAUUGGAUCUGAACGGUUCAGUUAUGGUUCCUGAUUUUUUAUGAAUGAAAACGAUGAACCGAUCCUACACAGUUCGAUUUUGAAUUAGAGAUCACUCGCUCGUAAUUCAAAUCUAAAAACGUAUUCUUCUUAUGCGAGCAAACGAGAAGAUCACACCGAAUCGAUUAGUCACAGGAUAUAUAUAUCCAGUUCCUAUCUCAUAGGUCAAGGGUGAAUCUCCUAUGGGUGUCUAUGUACGAAACACCACAACGUCCAUAUAUCUCAAGAAUCCGCAACAGUUCCUAUCCUCUAGGGUCUUUUUAACCUAUGGAACAGCCAGCUACUCUUUUGGAUCUUACGCCAUACCAAACGAUCAAAGGAGCAUCAAUCAACCUGCAACUGGCCGAGAAUCAAUGUCUUCCCAGCUCGAGCAUGUCGAGAUCCUCCAUAGCAACUUGGUGAAAAGAGGAAUCUGCACUUGUGCCAGUCCAUCAAAAGAUCAUGUUUUAGCUCAUGCGUCUCUAAGCUCUUUAUGUCAUUGUACAGAGGAAGAUAUUGCUGUUGAAUUGGCCAUUCGUUUGAUUGCAUCCACCUGCAUAAUGCAUUGCAUGCUUCAUGAUCAAUCAGAUCUCAUCCUAUCAUCAACACACUCUCCUUGUCUCUAUAAUCUACAGGCAGAAGAGUGUCAAGGAAGAACUUCCUUUUUACUCCCUCCAUAGAUUUCCGUGUGGUGUUACAUCGCAAACACUGUGUCAUUGUUACUCCCUCCUUGCUUAUAUAAGUAGCACCGUAUCGGCUCACCAUUACCAUUCAAGCAUUUCAUCGAACACCCUUAACCUACCGCGUGAUGGCGUCCGGUUCGGUGACCUCCUCAUGGACGACGAAGCAGAACAAGAUGUUCGAGAAGGCCCUCGCGGUGUUCGACGAGGGCACGCCGGACCGCUGGCACAAGAUCGCCCGUGCCGUCGGGGGGAAGACGUCCGACGAGGUGAGGCGCCACUACGAGCUGCUCGUGGAGGACCUUCGGCGCAUUGAGAAGGGCCACUUCUCGUAUGCCGACUGCCCCUCAUCCGGCAAUACCAGUUGGAGUAAUGGAAGCAUGAAGACGUGAAUUGCUACUCCUAAGAUUUCCAUUAUGAAGAACAGAUGCCGUCGAAGGACUUUCAGAAAGAUUAGAUAUCACUGAUAUUUUAGUAGCCUUCUCUUUCUGUACUCGUAUCCUCUUAAGCUGCAAACAAAAGCACUUGUAUGCAUGCAGUUUGCUGCCUUGGUGUACUUAAUAUAAGUCUGUAAUAUAUUUCUAGAAAAUUUAGGCAUGAGAGAAGAUUUUGUUUUUUA